rfam:Schistosoma haematobium scaffold147_70, whole genome shotgun sequence.
AUCCAGCUGACGAGUCCUGAAAAGGACGAGACGCGUGUCUUGGAU